rnacentral:rRNA from 1 species
CGUAGCCGCGGGAAUACGUAGGGUGCAAGCGUUAAUCGGAAUUACUGGGCGUAAAGCGUGCGCAGGCGGUUAUAUAAGACAGAUGUGAAAUCCCCGGGCUCAACCUGGGAACUGCAUUUGUGACUGUAUAGCUAGAGUACGGCAGAGGGGGAUGGAAUUCCGCGUGUAGCAGUGAAAUGCGUAGAUAUGCGGAGGAACACCGAUGGCGAAGGCAAUCCCCUGGGCCUGUACUGACGCUCAUGCACGAAAGCGUGGGGAGCAAACAGGAUUAGAUACCCGCGUAGUCCCUGUCUCUUAUACA